rnacentral:rRNA from 1 species
UACGAAGGGGGCUAGCGUUGUUCGGAAUCACUGGGCGUAAAGCGCACGUAGGCGGACUGUUAAGUCAGGGGUGAAAUCCUGGGGCUCAACCCCAGAACUGCCUUUGAUACUGGCGGUCUUGAGUGUGGAAGAGGUUGGUGGAACUCCGAGUGUAGAGGUGAAAUUCGUAGAUAUUAGGUAGAACACCGGUGGCGAAGGCGGCCAUCUGGGCCACAACUGACGCUGAGACGCGAAAGCGUGGGGAUCAAACAGG